UACGUAGGGGGGCGAGCGUUGUCCGGAAUUAUUGGGCGUAAAGAGCUCGUAGGCGGUUUGUCGCGUCUGCUGUGAAAACUGGAGGCUCAACCUCCAGCCUGCAGUGGGUACGGGCAAACUAGAGUGCGGUAGGGGAGAUUGGAAUUCCUGGUGUAGCGGUGGAAUGCGCAGAUAUCAGGAGGAACACCGGUGGCGAAGGCGGGUCUCUGGGCCGGAACUGACGCUGAGGAGCGAAAGCGUGGGGAGCGAACAGG
rnacentral:rRNA from 1 species